GACGCUGAGCGCGUAGGUACCGGACCGAGGGUGCCGGCACCGGUUCCAGAGAACUCCGAACCGGAACUUCUGAAACCGGUGCAGGUACCACCGGUUCCGUAGGACACCUUCAACGUCUAGGUCUACCGGUAUCAACGUAGAGCACAAGUACCGGAACGGAACGUCUACCUAAGUCGAUGAUACGGGUGCCCACAGCUAACACAUAAACCAAGAGCUAAACAGUCUAAAAACGUCAACCUAGACCUACUCAAAGGAAACACAUAAAGCAAGAGCUAAACAGUCUAUAGACGUCAACCUAGACCUAGAUCCGAGGUACAACCGCCAGUGCCGCACAAGACUCAAAAAGAAGUCACGUCCUAGAUAGGAACAGGAACUAGCACUAAUGCGAUGAUAACAUCCUGCAUUAACGUUUUGAUAGCACCGAACAUUAUGUCCGGCGGCAAAUAAAAAAGGCUAAAACGUAACGACCCGAACAUUAAGCAAGCCGGGUAGAUUAAACCGAUCUAAAACCCGAACCCGAGGAAAACAGAGAGCUUAACUUUAAGACCGACCCGUACAGACAAACAUUCGUUUAGACCCGACAAGACCCGAUUUCGGGACGGAGAACGGGAUUAUAAAGCGAUAAAUAUGGGGUAAGGAGCGAGAGGUGCGCGGGAUCUUUGGGAUUGGGCUGUCUCUGCCGCCGACACCGACUCUCCUUUGGGAUUGGGCUGUCUCUGCCGCCGACACCGACUCUCCUUUGGGAUUGGGCUGUCUCUGCCGCCGACACCGACUCUCCUUUGGGAUGGGGGUAGAGCGGCCGCUAGGGCAACUAGACGUCGCUACCGCCGGUCCUGGCGGGAACAUAGACGGAACUUGCCCAAAGCUCGGCAAGCAGUCCAAUGGUCCUACCACCUACAAGGACGACCAUCGAGCAGGCAGACGACGCGAAGACGGACGUCCUACCGAGCAAAAGAUGGAGACCUACCACCACGUGCAAUGAGGACAUGGUUUUUUCAUACCGUGAGAGACGGGGACAGAGAGGGACUACUCUAGAGAGGGGAACUACCUGACAAGUACAAGAAGACUAUUCCUCGGACUGUCAGACGACUCCCUGUUACAAUUCGUCCGUCAAAACGUACCAAAUGUCCUACGGGAACCCUUCAGUUUCUUACUACUGUAAAGCCCUAACUUCGAGAGUCAAUAGGCUCUCCCGCACCGACGUCGGGACUUCCUUAGAAACAGGGUCAUGUUGUAGACAAAGAUAACACUACUAUGACUAGGAGUGUAGUCCUAUUACUAUGUUCUCCGUCAGCUUCUCCCCGACUUUCGAAUACCUAUGGUCUAAGGGUUCUUUCUAAGAUUUUCACCCCUUAGUGGAAGAAACUACAGACCGGUACGGGUAAGGUGACCACGACUCAAGAGACGGGUACCACGACGGUCAACACUAGGACCUAAACCCAACGGACCAAGGAGGGUCGGGUUACUGGGAAGACUACUUCUUAAGCUAGGGGCGGAGGAUCGGAACUACGCGAUGCACCCAGUGACACACUGGUUCAGACAACCGUAUCCGAAACUUCUACGCAACUUCUCCUUCGACGUUGGACUAAGACCCCUUGGGUGGGAAUUAGUCCUACUCCUUCGACUACUACUUGGACUACUCCUAACCUGGAAGUCACUACGGUCCAAACGUUCCGUCUUAGCGUCUAAGUCUUUCAGACUUCUCUUCUUCCUUGUCUUUUCCUCUCUCGUUCUACGAUUCAUGUGUUUUGACUACUUUCUCUUCCGACGUUCUCGACUCCUCCGCUCUUUCCUCCUGGCCGACCUCAAAUAGUUUCUUCCGCAGAACCCCAAUGUCUUCAGAGAUCCGUUUCAACCACUCUCACAGCUACGACCGAAAUUGUUUUCGGUCGUCCGGUAACUGUGACGAAUAGUUGAUCUCGAACACUUGAGGGUCUGAGAAGAAGAGAGGGAGCCACAGAACCUCCUAUACAGAUUCCUAAACCCAAUGAACUACAAGUUUCGACGAGUUCUCUGCUUCUCCGACCUUAGACUUUUCGAAACCCAUAUACAACCUGAACUCUUCGAGUCAGUCUUCGACGGAAAGUUAGAACGACACGUGCACUUCUCGUAGCACUCCUUGCAGUUACUCAGCUUCCGCGAUAUGGGGUAACGCCCCACACGGUAACAAGAGUCGUCCCGCGUAAAGUGUGGCGACCUCACCCAACUCUAUCGGUUCUAGAGUUUACUGCUAACCCAGCUCUUUACCUGGUUCUUCGAAGUCCUUCAAGUACUCUCCUCGUUCUUGUUCUGACCUAUUCCAGGGUCAGUGUCACUUCCGUCCCUUCUCACUCCAUUACCGCCGUUAGCCCAGAUUUCCUAUCCUAUCCUCCGUCCGCUCACUCUGCCACAGACAGAACAUUUGACAAUUCUCCAGGUCUUGAAACACGAACACACUACUGCAACCCGUUCAGGAAAAUACAACACUCGGAGACGUUUGACGUUACCUGUAGAACAGAAUAAAGGAACACAAAACAAACAACUA
rnacentral:rRNA from 1 species